UAGCAGCACAUCAUGAUUUGCAUGCUGUAUUAUAGAUUCUAAUCAUUUUUUGCUGCUUCA
rnacentral:pre_miRNA from 1 species